rnacentral:rRNA from 1 species
GAUGAACGCUGGCGGCGUGCCUAAUACAUGCAAGUCGAACGCUGAAGGAGGAGCUUGCUCUUCUGGAUGAGUUGCGAACGGGUGAGUAACGCGUAGGUAACCUGCCUGGUAGCGGGGGAUAACUAUUGGAAACGAUAGCUAAUACAGCAUGACAACAGUUCUUGCAUGAUAACUGUUUAAAAGGGGCAACUGCUCCACUACCAGAUGGACCUGCGUUGUAUUAGCUAAUUGGUGAGGUAACGGCUCACCAAGGCGAACAUUCAUAGGCGGCGUGAGAGGGGGGACGGCCACCACGGGACCGGGGACACGCUCCAGACUCCUCCGGGAGCAACCGGAGGGGAAUAUUGGACAUUGAGCGAAGGCUGAACCAAGAACGCCGGGGGGGUGGAGGAGGUUUUCGGAGCGGUAAGGCCCUUUGUAAGGGAAGGAAGAGUGUGAGGGUGGAAAGUUCACACUGUGACGGUAUCUGAACAGAAAGGAACGGCUAACUACGUG